AGUGUGUGUGUGUGUGUGUGUGUGUGUGUGUGUAUCUCCAUCCCUUUGUCCAGUGUAAAAAUUGAAAGCCAGCCCUGGAAUAGAUCUCGGGGGCCCUGCUGUGAUUUCCCCACUGCCACGGUGACCACACACACACACACACACACACACACACCAU
rnacentral:miRNA from 1 species